AGUGAACGCUGGCGGUAGGCCUAACACAUGCAAGUCGAACGGCAGCACAGUAAGAGCUUGCUCUUACGGGUGGCGAGUGGCGGACGGGUGAGGAGUACAUCGUAAUCUACUUUUUCGUGGGGGAUAACGUAGGGAAACUUACGCUAAUACCGCAUACGACCUACGGGUGAAAGCAGGGGAUCUUCGGACCUUGCGCGAUUGAAUGAGCCGAUGUCGGAUUAGCUAGUUGGCGGGGUAAAGGCCCACCAAGGCGACGAUCCGUAGCUGGUCUGAGAGGAUGAUCGGCCACACUGGAACUGAGACACGGUCCAGACUCCUACGGGAGGCAGCAGUGGGGAAUAUUGGACAAUGGGGGCAAGCCUGAUCCAGCCAUACCGCGUGGGUGAAGAAGGCCUUCGGGUUGUAAAGCCCUUUUGUUGGGAAAGAAAAGCAGCAGGUUAAUACCCCGCUGUUCUGACGGUACCCAAAGAAUAAGCACCGGCUAACUUCGUG
rnacentral:rRNA from 1 species